ACACACACGCACACACGCGCACACACACACACACACACACACACACACACACACACCCUCCUGCACAGCUGCUCACCCCUGACUCUUCAAAGAAUCUCCCUGGAGCCCCUGCAUGGCCCCGUGGUACCAUCAGGGAGUGUGUGCUGCAUGGCAGAGGUCAAGGCCCCAGGCUCAGGACCACAGCCUCCCCUAACCAGGCGGAUUCCAGCCUUUGCAGGAGAGUGUUUGUUUUCCUGUGGGCGCUGACAGUGCCUGCCUCCCUCCCGCCGAGUGCCCAGCGUGUGAAGACACAGUCCUGCCCUCAGGCCGCUGGGAACCCGAGUGAGAGACACUCAGCUCUGGGUGCAAACUCAGCCCGAAAAGCAGGCAGGCUGGGCCCUGAGGUCUGAGGCCCGUUUCCUCCUCGGAGGAAGCAACGCGCUAACUCAAGGACUUCUCUGAAGAAGGCAGCCCUCGGGAGGGGAGAUUUGAACAUGUGAAAUAAGUUGGAUUAAAAACCAAACACAACUCCUGAACUGCGAUUGUGUGGGAUUCAAAACCCUAAAGAGGCCGAACAGCUCACUGGAAGAGGAACUAAGCAGUGACAGACAGAGAAGCUCUUCAUUCUACCCUUUUGAAUCUCAUGGACUCUGAGUCACACUAGUGGGAAGCCUACUCGAAAGCCAAGAGUGUUUAAAGUUUAUUUUAAGCUUGAUGUGCACAGGUAUAUCUCGUCCACUGAAGAUCUUCACUGUAGGGACACAGAGAUGGGUACCAAGCAGCUUUUUCUAAGGGGGCUUCUAAAUGUCAGUGUUUAAAAGUCUUCUCUCUGGGUUAUCAAGUGUUUUCUGAUGAGAAUCUUCUAGACCCCUGCCUGGGGAAAAGUGUGGGGGGAGGGCAUACACCUAGCUGACAGUUUUCUUGAACGAGGGUGGAAGGAAGGCUGGAUAUCCCACUGUUCAGAAUGCAGAUUUGCAGCCAGGGGCCUCAACCCUCUCCCAACUACACAUACAACUGACCUGUCGGCCUCUAGAACAUGCUUCUCAAAUUAUCUGUGCUGAAGGACCAGUUGUUAAUCUUCCAAUCAUCAGGACCCACACAGAGUUCUACCACACAUGACAGUACACGUGACCCACCUCUCGUGACUCAUGGUAGGAGGUCAGACAUCCAGACUGGCCCGUAUCCGGUUCAGCAAGAAGAACCCACUGAGCAUGCACCUGCAUGCUGAGGCAAUUUCCAGUUUCUCUAAAAAUUCUAAACACUUGUUCUUACUUCUUGUACUUCCUGUAUCUUACUGGGGCUAGUAACAAAGCUUAUCAACCUAAACCAGUUCACAAACCUCUUUAAAGGCACUGCCCUAGAAAAGAACAAAUCUCUAGUCUCUUGCCUUAAGGAGGAGCUGCCACCAGGCUUUCAGGGGGUCAAUCUGGAGGGUCAAACUGCUCUGUCAAUAGACUUUCAGCCCAUCGCCCAUCUCAGCUCUGCACCUCCCUCCCACUCUCCUUGGAACCCUGUGUUUCUAAAUCCAGUGCCUUCCUGAACUGCUCAUGCCCCAUUAUCGGGUCCUUUCUGCAGGCAUCAGGACAUAGUUUCUAUCAUUUGGCCGAGUUCUACCUGUUUCUUCUCCCAUCUCUCUAUCCUUGCAGUUUAUACCUUUAAAAGCACCUUUACUGUUGUUAGGAUGGCAAUAUGUCUCAAACUGAUGAACAGAUUUAAUGAAAUGCCUAUCAAAAUCCCAGACUUCUUUGCAGAGGUGAUCCUUAAAUUCAUAUGGAAUUUCAAAGGGGCCCAGAAGAGUAAAACUGAUCUUGAAAAUGAAAAAGAACAAGUUUGGAGGACUCAAAUCCCCCAAUUUCAAAACUUUCCACAAAGCUACAGUAAUCAAGUAAUGAAGUGUAAUAAUGGCAUAAGGGUGGCCAUGCAGAUGAGUGGAAUAGAACUGAGAGCUCAGAAAUAAACCCUCAGAUCUGUAAUCAACUGAUCUUCAACAAGGGUGCCAAGACAGCUCAAUGCAAGGGGCAGGGGGCAAGAAGAGUCUUUUCAUCAAAUGAUGCUGGGACAACUGGAUAUCCACAUGCAAAAGAAUGAUGCUGGACCCCUACCUCACACCAUACACAAAACUUAACUCAAAAUGGAUUAUAGACUUAAAUGUAAGAGUUAAAAUUUUAAAACUCUUAGAAGAAAAUAUAAGGGUAAAGCUUCAUGAGGCAAAGCCUUCUUAGAUAUAAUACCAAAAGCACAAGUAACAAAAGAAAAAUAAAUUGGGCUCAUGAAAAUUAAAAACUUUUGUUUAUCAAAUGACACCAUCAAGAACAUGAAAACAAAACCUACACAUUGGGAGAAAAUAUAUGCAUAUCAUGUAUUUGAUAUGAGACUUGUAUCCAGAAUAUAUAUAAAAAAAGCCUUUUACAAUCUAUAAUAAAAAGACACAUUACUCAAUAUUUAAAUGGGCAAAGGAUCUAAAUAGACAUUUCUUUUUCCAAAGAAGAUAUACAACAAGCAUAUGAAAAGAUGCUCAACAUGACUAGCUAUCAGGGAAAUAUAAAUUUAAACCAUAAAGAGGCACUACUCCAUACUCACCUGGAGGCUAUUAUCAAAAAGACAGACAGGAACAAGUGUUGUUAAGGAUGUGGAGAAACUGGGACCACACAUACUACUGGUAGAAUGUAAAAUGGUGCAGCCACUUUGGAAAACAGUCUCAUAGUUCCUCAAAAAGUUAAACAUAGACCAUAUGACCCAGCAAUUCCACGUCUAGGCACAUCCAUUCACACAAUGUAUCUGUGGGAGGAGGUGAGCUUUGGGUCCUUCUAUUCCGCCAUAUUGAAGCCCCUCCUACAUUUACACAAUGAGACUGUCCAAAGCAAAGUUACUCAUAAUAACUAAAAAAAGUGGAAACAACUCAAAUGUUCAUCAACCUAAGAACAGAUAAGCAAAAUGUAGUAUCGCCAUACAGUGGACUAUUAUUAAAUGAUAAAAAAAGAAAUAAAGCAAGGAUGCAUGCUACAACAUGAAUGAAUUUUGAAAACAUUAUGCCAAGCGGAAGUCACAAUGGAUCACUUUUGUAUGAGUCCAUUUAUAUAAAAUGUCUGGAAUAGGGAAAUCUAUACAGAUAGAAAGCAGGUUAGUGGUUGCCUAGGCUGGGGCCUUGUGGGGAGGAAGAAAUGGGUGUGGGGUUUCUUUUAGGGGUGACGAAAAUGUUCUAAAAUUGAUUGUGGUGAUGGCUGUCCAACUCUGCAAAUAUACUAAAAGCCACUGAAUUGCACACUUUCAACAGGGGAAUUGUAUGGUAUGUGAACUGCAUCUCCACAAAGCUGACACAACGGAGUGUCUGGACUCGGCCCACCGUGUCUAACUGCAGGUCUCUAAUGCCGUCUGCCUGGACUGUGGGCAGGUCCAGCGUGCCUUGUGCACAGGGCUUCUCUCUUCUCACUGCAUUGAGGGGUCGCAUCUGAGGUCACACAUUUGUUUGUAAUAUAAUGGCAACUUAGGAGAUUGCUAUUGGCUUCAUUAGGGGAUGUACCUAAAAAUAGUAUUUAUUGAGUCAGACAGAUGAAUAAACUGUGCCUGACUUACUCUCUUA